GCGCCCGUGGCUUAAUUGGAUAGAGCAACUGACUACGGAUCAGUAGACUGGGGGUUCGAAUCCCUCCGGGCGCACCA
rnacentral:tRNA from 1 species